ensembl:lncRNA
UAACAUCACCGUCUGUCUGUCUGUCUGUCUGUCUGUCUGUCAAAACCCCAUCAGUUCACUACGACUCAGAGUGGACAUGAUCAAUAGAUAACAUCACCGUCUGUCUGUCUGUCAAGACCCCGUCUGUCAAGACCCCAUCAGUUCACUACAACUCAAAGUGGACAUGAUCAAUAGAUAACAUCACUGUCUGUCUGUCUGUCAGCGUUGGGCUCAAUUCAGACUUGAGUUAAGAAUACUUCUUGAAUUUGAAUUGAAGUAGUAAACAGAAUACAGAAUUGAAAUUUGAAUUUGAAUGAAAGGAAAUAGAAUUGAAUUCAGUGAAAUUCAAAUGCCUCUUGUAUUGUAUAUUAGGUGUAGUCUAUAACUAUAUAUGUUGAAACAGUAGAUUUUUAGGACAAACUAUCUUCCAAUUAAUUAAUGAUCUAGGACAACAAAUCCUGUAUGCAAAUAUUCUGUUUUCAUUAAUCACUUAUUAAUCACACAUAUAUAUAUAUAUAUACUGUAUACACAAAACAUUAGUUUCACCCCUUUUUUCCCUCAGAACAGCCUCAAUUUGUCGGGGCAGGGACUCUACAAGAUAUCAAAUGUGUUCAUCAGGGAUGCUGGCCCAUGUUGUCACAGGGAUGCUGGCCCAUGUUGUCACAGGGAUGCUGGCCCAUGUUGUCACAGGGAUACUGGCCCAUGUUGACUCCAAUGCUUCCCACAGUUGUGUCAAGUUGGCUUGAUGUCCUUUGGGUGAUGGAUCAUUAUUGAUACACACAGAGAAACUGUUGAAUGUGAAAAACCCAGCAGCGUUGCCGUUCUUAACACAAACCAGUACACCUGGCACCUACCACCAUACACAGUUCAGACACUUAAACAUUUAGUCUUGUCCAUUCACCCUCUGAAUGACACACACAAUCCAUGUCUCAAUUGCCAUUCUUUAACCCGUCUCCUCCCCUUCAUCUACACUGAUUGAAGUGGAUUUAACAGGUGACAUCAAUAAGGGAUCAUAUCUUUCACCUGGAUUCACCUGGUCAGUCUGUGUUUAGGAAAGAGCAGGCGUUCCUAAUGUUUUGUGCACUCCGUGUAUAUUGUAAAUGCUAACUGACAGAGUAAUUGUCCCAUAAGUUUUAAAUGAGGUGUUAACAUUUGGUAUUGUUUGUAAACAUUUAAAUAAAAGCUAUUUAGUUCAGUUUUUAAGUUGUAAUGGGGAGGAUCAGUAGUUCAGAGGGCAGGGUGAUCAGUAGUUCAGAGGGCAGGGUGAUCAGUAGUUCAGAGGGCAGGGUGAUCAGUAGUUCAGAGGGCAGGGUGAUCAGUAGCCAGGGUGAUCAGUGGCCAGGGUGAUCAGUAGUUCAGGGGCAGGGUGAUCAGUAGCCAGGGUGAUCAGUGGCCAGGGUGAUCAGUAGUUCAGAGGGCAGGGUGAUCAGUAGUUCAGAGGGCAGGGUGAUCAGUGGCCAGGGUGAUCAGUAGUUCAGAGGGCAGGGUGAUCAGUAGUUCAGAGGGCAGGGUGAUCAGUGGCCAGGGUGAUCAGUAGUUCAGAGGGCAGGGUGAUCAGUAGUUCAGAGGGCAGGGUGAUCAGUAGCCCAGGGUGAUCAGUGGCCAGGGUGAUCAGUAGUUCAGAGGGCAGGGUGAUCAGUAGUUCAGAGGGCAGGGUGAUCAGUAGUUCAGAGGGCAGGGUGAUCAGUAGUUCAGAGGGCAGGGUGAUCAGUAGUUCAGGGGGCAGGGUGAUCAAUAGUUCUGUGGCCUGGGUGAUCAGUAGUUCAGAGGUCAGGGUGACCAGUGGCCAGGGUGAUCAGUAGUUCAGAGAGCAGGGUGAUCAAUAGUUCAGAGAGCAGGGUGAUCAAUAGUUCUGUGGCCAGGGUGAUCAGUAGUUCUGUGGCCAGGGUGAUCAGUAGUUCAGAGGUCAGGGUGAUCAGUAGUUCAGAGGGCAGGGUGAUCAGUAGUUCUGUGGCCAGGGUGAUCAAUAGUUCUGUGGCCAGGGUGAUCAGUAGUUAGAGGUCAGGGUGAUCGGUAGUUCUGAGGUCGGGGUGAUCGGUGGUUCUGUGGUCAGGAUGAUAGGUAGUUCUGAGGUCAGGGUGAUCGGUAGUUCUGUGGUCAGGAUGAUAGGUAGUUCUGAGGUCAAGUCUGGCCAGGGUGAUCAGUAGUUCUGUGGUCAGGAUGAUCAGUAGUUCUGUGGUCAGGGUGAUCAAUAGUUAUGUGGCCAGUGUGAUCAGUAGUUCAGAGGUCAGGGUGAUCAGUAGUUCAGAGGGCAGGGUGAUCAGUAGUUCUGUGGCCAGGGUGAUCAAUAGUUCUGUGGCCAGGGUGAUCAGUAGUUAGAGGUCAGGGUGAUCGGUAGUUCAGAGGUCAGGGUGAUCGGUAGUUCUGAGGUCGGGGUGAUCGGUAGUUCCGGGGGUCGGGUGAUCGGUAAUUCCGGGUCAGGAUGAUCGGUAGUUCUGUGGUCAGGGUGAUCAAUAGUUCUAUGGUCAGGGUGAUCGGUAUUUCAGGGGCCAGGGUGAUCGGUAGUUCAGAGGUCAGGAUGGUCGGUAGGUCUGUGGUCAGGAUGGUAGGUAGUUCUGAGGUCAGGGUGAUCAAUAGUUCGGAGGCCAGGGUGAUCGGUAGUUCGGCGGCCGGGAUGAUCAGUCGUUCUGAGGUCAGGGUGAUCAGUAGUUCGGAGGUCAGGAUGAUCGGUAGUUUGGCGGUCAGGGUGAUCAGUAGUUCUGAGGUCAGGAUGGUCGGUAGUUCUGUGGUCAGGAUGGUAGGUAGUUCUGAGGUCAAGUCUGGCCAGGGUGAUCAAUAGUUAUGUGGCCAGGGUGAUCAGUAGUUAUGUGGCCAGGGUGAUCAGUAGUUAUGUGGCCAGGGUGAUCGGUAGUUAUGUGGCCAGGGUGAUUGGUAGUUCAGAGGUCAGGGUGAUUGGUAGUUCAGAGGUCAGGGUGAUUGGUAGUUCAGAGGUCAGGGUGAUUGGUAGUUCAGAGGUCAGGGUGAUUGGUAGUUCAGAGGUCAGGGUGAUUGGUAGUUCAGAGGUCAGGGUGAUUGGUAGUUCAGAGGUCAGGGUGAUUGGUAGUUCAGAGGUCAGGGUGAUUGGUAGUUCAGAGGUCAGGGUGAUUGGUAUUUC